GUCGGGCGCCCCGCAAGGGGAGCGGCGGACGGGUGAGUAACACGUGGGAAUUUUCCUCAAGGUACGGAACAACUCAGGGAAACUUGGGCUAAUACCGUAUGAUGCAGAGAUGCCAAAGAUUUAUCGCCUUGGGAUAAGCCCGCGUCAGAUUAGGUAGUUGGUGAGGUAACGGCUCACCAAGCCUGUGAUCUGUAGCUGGUCUGAGAGGACGAUCAGCCACAUUGGGACUGAGACACGGCCCAAACUCCUACGGGAGGCAGCAGUGGGGAAUCUUGCGCAAUGGGCGAAAGCCUGACGCAGCCAUGCCGCGUGAAUGAUGAAGGUCUUAGGAUUGUGAAGUUCUUUCGCUCGUGACGAUGAUGACGGUAACGAGAGAAGAAGCCCCGGCUAACUUCGUGCCAGCAGCCGCGGUAAUACGAAGGGGGCUAGCGUUGUUCGGAAUUACUGGGCGUAAAGCGCGCGUAGGCGGCUUUGCAAGCCAGAGGUGAAAUGCCUGAGCUCAACUUAGGAAUUGCCUUUGGGACUGCGAGGCUUCGAGGACUGGAGAGGUGAGUGGAAUUCCCAGUGUAGAGGUGAAAUUCGUAGAUAUUGGGAAGAACACCAGUGGCGAAGGCGGCUCACUGGCCAGUUUCUGACGCUAAAGUGCGAAAGCGUGGGGAUCAAACAGGAUUAGAUACCCUGGUAGUCCACGCUGUAAACG
rnacentral:rRNA from 2 species